ACUCCUACGGGAGGCAGCAGUGGGGAAUAUUGCACAAUGGGCGCAAGCCUGAUGCAGCCAUGCCGCGUGUGUGAAGAAGGCCUUCGGGUUGUAAAGCACUUUCAGCGGGGAGGAAGGCGAUACGGUUAAUAACCGUGUUGAUUGACGUUACCCGCAGAAGAAGCACCGGCUAACUCCGUGCCAGCAGCCGCGGUAAUACGGAGGGUGCAAGCGUUAAUCGGAAUUACUGGGCGUAAAGCGCACGCAGGCGGUCUGUCAAGUCGGAUGUGAAAUCCCCGGGCUCAACCUGGGAACUGCAUUCGAAACUGGCAGGCUUGAGUCGUGUAGAGGGGGGUAGAAUUCCAGGUGUAGCGGUGAAAUGCGUAGAGAUCUGGAGGAAUACCGGUGGCGAAGGCGGCCCCCUGGACAAAGACUGACGCUCAGGUGCGAAAGCGUGGGGAGCAAACAGGAUUAGAUACCCUAGUAGUCCCAUGAU
rnacentral:rRNA from 1 species